CAGGAACACGGCCUGCCUUCAGAACAUUCCAACGGUAACAGUCGCGAAACAUUAUUGGGAUUUUUUGCCCCUUUAACAAAUUGAAACGGACUGCUUUUCUCAGGACCAUUUGAAAUGGGCGUCUGUGGAAAAGGGAGGCAGCAGAGGGUGCGGAGUUGGGGUGAGUUUCUCCUGCAAGCAAUGAUACUGUGAAACAAUAUUUUGGAAGACAUCUUCUUCAAUUUAUUGAACAAGGUCAACCUCCAGCAGCUUAUGAUGUGGAUGAGGUCUGUUUCAUAUGUAGCAGUACCUUGAAGCCUCUUCUCUGCAACUUAUAUAGACCCAAAACAUGAAGAUUAUGGGGAUCGUGGCCUCUGAUAGUGGGUCUGAAGCUCACUUUAUGAAGAACUUCCCUCUCCUAGACUCCACAUUCUGCAUCCUUGACUGUUACAGCACAACUUGUGAAGAGGGUAUUGCAGUACAGUCCUGUUUUAUUUUGAAGACAUUGGGUAGAACAACACCGAAGCAUUUCUGUGGCUGUGGGCCAGGCCAGAUACAAGAGUGCGGUGUGAGCCUGAGUUGUGGUGUGCCUGUAACCGAAGGAUCCUAGUGAUGGAGCUGCCUACAUAUUUUUAAAUAUAUUUAAUUCUGCAUGUGUGUUGUGAUGUGCAGGUGUCACUUUCCCAUCGCUGGGACACAAUACCUGACACCCACAGCUUAAAGGGGGAGAGGUUUAUUUUGCUUUAUGGUCUCUGGCUGGCUGGCUGCAAGGCACAAAUGGCAUGGUGGAAAAGCCCAGAUGGAAGAAAGCUGCUCACUUCACGGCAAGCUGGAAGCAGAGAGAGGAGGGAGGAGUCAGGCAGGGAGGUACACCCUUCCAAUUAUGCCGUCAGUGACCUGUCCUAGCAAGGCCCCAUCUUCCAGCAGCACACUCAGCUGCAGGACUAACCAGUGGAUGAAUCCAUGGUGAUAGCACCACCAUUAUCCAAUCACCUACCUUUGGACUCCAGGGACCAUAGGGGGACAUACUAGAUCUAAACCCUAAUAACAGGGCAUGAAAACAGGAGUCUGGGAUAUCUAUGAAUGUGCUGUCUAUCUCAAGUCCAUAAAUAAUUAUCGAAUGCUUGCUACGUCCCAGGCACUCAGUUGUGGAGAAGACAUACAACACAGUUCAAAUUAUGCUCCUAUCAAACACGUUGCUUGACACAUUAGGACUGAUGCGAGCCAAGUAAGCACUUCCAUAGAUUGCACCAGUAGCAGGCAGACUGGAGAGGCACUUUGUGAAGGGUCCAAAGAUUAGUUCCCGUUGGGGAUGUCGUGGGUUAAUUUAUUUGAAAUGAACUUGAGAGGUGUUGAUAGCGUUUACGUGGAGUUGUGUCCCACACCUGUACGCCCAUCUCCACAGGAGACUGAGGCAGG
rnacentral:lncRNA from 1 species